GGAAGUGACGUUACACAGCGUGUGGGCUUUCAUCUCUGCCAGCGACAGACAUGGCGGUCCCGGCUUCUAACCCCAAUAACCCCAUCGUCUUCUUCGAUGUCAGUAUCGGGGGGCAGGAAGUUGGACGGAUGAAGGUGGAGCUCUUUGCAGAUGUCAUUCCCAAAACAGCUGAAAAUUUCAGGCAGUUUUGCACCGGGGAGUUCAG